GGGUGCGAUCAUACCAGCACUAAUGCACCGGAUCCCAUCAGAACUCCGCAGUCAAGCGUGCUUGGGCGAGAGUAGUACUAGGAUGGGUGACCUCCCGGGAAGUCCUCGUGUCGCACCCC
rnacentral:rRNA from 1 species